GGGGACCGAGGCUAUUUUGCUUAAAAAAGAAGAAAAUGUAUCUUUCUGCAACCCAAACCACUGCUUGUAUAUUUUUUGAAGCCUCAUAGUCAAUGUGGGAAGGUACAUUUCCUCAUGUAGGGUAUCAAGAGAGCUAUCAGUUAACACAGAAUUAAGCUUAUUAGAAACUACUUUUCCUCACCCUUCUCUUCCCACUUCUUAUCUUCCCUCCCCUGUGGUACUUUAGUGCCCUGAAGACCAACUGAACUGCAGUGCUGUAGCUGUUUGUACACACUGCAAAUGACCUGGCUUUUUAUCCAGCUGCCAGGAGAAUUUGUACUGACUGCAGGAGGACUGGGGCACGCAGCGUACUUCAUCGUCAAUGGGAAUUCAUGCCUUUCAUAACUCAGCAACAACUAACAGAGCCAGUUAGCCCAAAAUAUUAUUUUCCUGAAACGUCUGCAAACAAAGGGAUGCAUUUUGCAGACAGGCCUGGAGAUCAAAAGAAAAUAUUGAAUAUCACUCAGAUUGGCACACUGAGAGGAGACACAGAGAAUCACCAUGGAGGAGGACAAGAAUUUUCUAAAAGCAUAUUCAAGAAAGGAUGAAGCCAAAAUACUUUUGCAUCUAAAAAUCAUCUACUACAGUGACAAGAACAAUUAUGGAAACAAUUAUCACGGGGAGGAACAGUGAUACUGAGGCCUAAGUUGCUCUGCAUGAGUCUAGUUUUACAGCGGUUAAGCUUCAAUAAAAUCAACCACAGUAACA
rnacentral:lncRNA from 1 species